rnacentral:tRNA from 1 species
UGGGGCCGUGGGGGGGGAUGGCGGCUGUCCGCCCCGGAUGCGGGCCAGGGGUAUUUCACCGGUCUCCGGUUCCACUCCGGGCGGCUGCGGC